GCGGAUGUGGUGGAAUGGUAGACACGCUAGACUUAGAAUCUAGUGCCUAACGGUGUGCGGGUUCAAGUCCCUCCAUCCGCACCA
rnacentral:tRNA from 1 species